rnacentral:rRNA from 1 species
AUUGAACGCUGGCGGCAGGCUUAACACAUGCAAGUCGAGCGGGCGAGGUUGCUUCGGUAACUGAGCUAGCGGCGGACGGGUGAGUAAUGCUUAGGAAUCUGCCUAUUAGUGGGGGACAACAUUCCGAAAGGAAUGCUAAUACCGCAUACGCCCUACGGGGGAAAGCAGGGGAUCUUCGGACCUUGCGCUAAUAGAUGAGCCUAAGUCAGAUUAGCUAGUUGGUGGGGUAAAGGCCUACCAAGGCGACGAUCUGUAGCGGGUCUGAGAGGAUGAUCCGCCACACUGGGACUGAGACACGGCCCAGACUCCUACGGGAGGCAGCAGUGGGGAAUAUUGGACAAUGGGCGGAAGCCUGAUCCAGCCAUGCCGCGUGUGUGAAGAAGGCCUUUUGGUUGUAAAGCACUUUAAGCGAGGAGGAGGCUACUUGGAUUAAUACUCUAGGAUAGUGGACGUUACUCGCAGAAUAAGCACCGGCUAACUCUGUGCCAGCAGCCGCGGUAAUACAGAGGGUGCGAGCGUUAAUCGGAUUUACUGGGCGUAAAGCGUGCGUAGGUGGCUUCUUAAGUCGGAUGUGAAAUCCCUGAGCUUAACUUAGGAAUUGCAUUCGAUACUGGGAAGCUAGAGUAUGGGAGAGGAUGGUAGAAUUCCAGGUGUAGCGGUGAAAUGCGUAGAGAUCUGGAGGAAUACCGAUGGCGAAGGCAGCCAUCUGGCCUAAUACUGACGCUGAGGUACGAAAGCAUGGGGAGCAAACAGGAUUAGAUACCCUGGUAGUCCAUGCCGUAAACGAUGUCUACUAGCCGUUGGGGCCUUUGAGGCUUUAGUGGCGCAGCUAACGCGAUAAGUAGACCGCCUGGGGAGUACGGUCGCAAGACUAAAACUCAAAUGAAUUGACGGGGGCCCGCACAAGCGGUGGAGCAUGUGGUUUAAUUCGAUGCAACGCGAAGAACCUUACCUGGUCUUGACAUAGUAAGAACUUUCCAGAGAUGGAUUGGUGCCUUCGGGAACUUACAUACAGGUGCUGCAUGGCCGUCGUCAGCUCGUGUCGUGAGAUGUUGGGUUAAGUCCCGCAACGAGCGCAACCCUUUUCCUUAUUUGCCAGCGGGUUAAGCCGGGAACUUUAAGGAUACUGCCAGUGACAAACUGGAGGAAGGCGGGGACGACGUCAAGUCAUCAUGGCCCUUACGACCAGGGCUACACACGUGCUACAAUGGUCGGUACAAAGGGUUGCUACCUAGCGAUAGGAUGCUAAUCUCAAAAAGCCGAUCGUAGUCCGGAUUGGAGUCUGCAACUCGACUCCAUGAAGUCGGAAUCGCUAGUAAUCGCGGAUCAGAAUGCCGCGGUGAAUACGUUCCCGGGCCU